GACGAACGCUGGCGGCAUGCCUAAUACAUGCAAGUCGAGCGGAGUUGAUGGGAAGCUUGCUUUCCUGAUACUUAGCGGCGGACGGGUGAGUAACACGUAGGCAACCUGCCCUCAAGCUUGGGACAACUACCGGAAACGGUAGCUAAUACCGAAUACUUGUUUUCUUCGCCUGACGAGAACUGGAAAGACGGAGCAAUCUGUACCUUGGGGCUGGGCCUGCGGCGCAUUAGCUAGUUGGUGAGGUAACGGCUCACCAAGGCGACGAUGCGUAGCCGACCUGAGAGGGUGAUCGGCCACACUGGGACUGAGACACGGCCCAGACUCCUACGGGAGGCAGCAGUAGGGAAUCUUCCGCAAUGGGCGAAAGCCUGACGGAGCAAUGCCGCGUGAGUGAUGAAGGUUUUCGGAUCGUAAAGCUCUGUUGCCAGGGAAGAACGCUAGGGAGAGUAACUGCUCCCAAGGUGACGGUACCUGAGAAGAAAGCCCCGGCUAACUACGUGCCAGACGCCGCCGUAA
rnacentral:rRNA from 1 species